rnacentral:rRNA from 1 species
CCCGCUGAACUUAAGCAUAUCAAUAAGCGGAGGAAAAGAAACCAACAGGGAUUGCCUUAGUAACGGCGAGUGAAGCGGCAACAGCUCAAAUUUGAAAUCUGGCUACCUGUAGCCCGAGUUGUAAUUUGUAGAGGAACGUUCGGCGACGCCUAGGUCUGAUUUUUCUGGAAGGAAAAGCCUUGGAGGGUGAGAGCCCCGCAUGACUGAUGGCUGAACCAUGUGUACGUCCUUCGAAGAGUCGAGUUGUUUGGGAAUGCAGCUCAAAAUGGGUGGUAAAUUCCAUCUAAAGCUAAAUAUUGGCCAGAGACCGAUAGCGCACAAGUAGAGUGAUCGAAAGAUGAAAAGCACUUUGGAAAGAGAGUGAAACAGUACGUGAAAUUGUUGAAAGGGAAGCGCUAGCAACUAGACUUGGGUCAGGCAUUCAGCAGUCCUUUGGGACUGUGUAUUUUGCCUGUUACAAGCCAGCAUCAGUUUCUGCGGCUGGAAAAAAGCAGUCGGAAUGUAGCUCUUUCGAGAGUGUUAUAGCCUUCUGUAGAAUACAGCCAGCGGGGACUGAGGACCGCCUUUGCAGGAUGUUGGCAUAAUGGUUGUUAGCGGCCCGUCUUGAAACACGG